rnacentral:rRNA from 1 species
CGGCGUAAAGAACUUGCCUCACAGAUAGGGACGAAAUUUGGAAACGAAUGCUAAUACCUGAUAUUAUGAUUUUAGGGCAUCCGUAGAAUUAUGAAAGCUAUAUGCGCUGUGAGAGAGCUUUGCGUCCCAUUAGCUAGUUGGAGAGGUAACGGCUCACCAAGGCGAUGAUGGGUAGCCGGCCUGAGAGGGUGAUCGGCCACAAGGGACUGAGACACGGCCCUU